CAGAGUUGCAAAACUCCCACAAACCAUCGCGAAUCUUACCCGUACGGUUGCCUCGGCGCUGGCGGUCCGGAAGGCCCUCGGCCCCGGAUCCUCGGGUCUCCCGCUCGCGGGAGGCUGCCCGCCGGAGUGCCGAAACUAAACUCUUGAUAUCUUAUGUCUCUCUGAGUACACUUUUAAAUAAGUCA
rnacentral:misc_RNA from 1 species